rnacentral:rRNA from 1 species
GAUGAACGCUGGCGGCGUGCCUAAUACAUGCAAGUCGAGCGAACAGACGAGGAGCUUGCUCCUCUGACGUUAGCGGCGGACGGGUGAGUAACACGUGGAUAACCUACCUAUAAGACUGGGAUAACUUCGGGAAACCGGAUCUAAUACCGGAUAAUAUAUUGAACCGCAUGGUUCAAUAGUGAAAGACGGUUUUGCUGUCACUUAUAGAUGGAUCCGCGCCGCAUUAGCUAGUUGGUAAGGUAAAGGCUUACCAAGGCAACGAUGCGUAGCCGACCUGAGAGGGUGAUCGGCCACACUGGAACUGAGACACGGUCCAGACUCCUACGGGAGGCAGCAGUAGGGAAUCUUCCGCAAUGGGCGAAAGCCUGACGGAGCAACGCCGCGUGAGUGAUGAAGGUCUUCGGAUCGUAAAACUCUGUUAUUAGGGAAGAACAAAUGUGUAAGUAACUAUGCACGUCUUGACGGUACCUAAUCAGAAAGCCACGGCUAACUACGUG